rnacentral:rRNA from 1 species
AGAAUCAACGCUGGCGGCGUGCCUCAGACAUGCAAGUCGAACGAUUAAAGCUCUCUUCGGAGAGUGCAUAGAGUGGCGCACGGGUGAGUAACACGUAAGUAAUCUACCCUCGAGUGGGGAAUAACAUCGGGAAACCGAUGCUAAUACCGCAUAAUGCAGCGGCACCGCAAGGUGACAGUUGUUAAAGAUUUAUCGCUUGAGGAGGAGCUUGCGGCAGAUUAGCUAGUUGGUAAGGUAAUGGCUUACCAAGGCUACGAUCUGUAACCGGUCUUAGAGGACGGUCGGUCACACUGACACUGAAUAACGGGUCAGACUCCGUACGGGA